GUGGGGAAUAUUGGACAAUGGGCGAAAGCCUGAUCCAGCCAUGCCGCGUGUGUGAAGAAGGUCUUCGGAUUGUAGAGCACUUUAAGUUGGGAGGAAGGGCAGUAAGUUAAUACCUUGCUGUUUUGACGUUACCGACAGAAUAAGCACCGGCUAACUUCGUGCCAGCAGCCGCGGUAAUACGAAGGGUGCAAGCGUUAAUCGGAAUUACUGGGCGUAAAGCGCGCGUAGGUGGUUUUGUAAGUUGGAGGUGAAAUCCCCGGGCUCAACCUGGGAACUGCCUCCAAAACUGCAUGACUAGAGUACGGUAGAGGGUAGUGGAAUUUCCUGUGUAGCGGUGAAAUGCGUAGAUAUAGGAAGGAACACCAGUGGCGAAGGCGACUACCUGGACUGAUACUGACACUGAGGUGCGAAAGCGUGGGGAGCAAACAGGAUUAGAUACCCCAGUAGUCC
rnacentral:rRNA from 1 species